GAGUUUUUGUUUUAUUUAACUCCCUAAGAACUGGAAUGUCGUCUGUGUGUUGGGCCUGAUAAAACUAGUUUGUUUAUAUCCAAGCAAGAGUAAAGAUCCAGCCGGGUGGCGGUGGCAGUGCACGCUUUUAAUCCCAGCACUCGGGAGGCAGAGACAGGCGGAUCUCUAUGUAUUUUACCUCAUAGAUGCUGUAGGUGGUAGUGUGUGCCGGCUCUAACUCCCAGGAUUGAGGAGGCUGAGACUGAAGAGUUAACCUGGACCACACUGUGACAGCGAUCAGUAAAACCUCUGCCUGGUGGCCUGAUGCCCCUGCUUCCCAGCUGAUGAGCCACCAGUUUCCUUGCCAGGAGCUGCUGGAGGCCUGUAGGACCUGGUUUGGACAAACUGAGACCACCCACACAGAUGGCACAGACCAUCCAGAGGAAAUUCCUAACAUUGCAACCAUUAUAGAGAGGAUCACCUGCCAGCACACCAGGACACUCUAGACAAAUGUCGGCCAAUCAGGGUUCCUAAACCUUAGAAAUCCCUCACCCCUACCUUUGCUACUAUAAAGACCCAACUCUAACUGAGCUUGGGGCCUUCUAAUCACUC